rnacentral:rRNA from 1 species
GAUUAACGCUAGCGGCAGGCAUAAUACAUGCAAGUUGAACGGCAGCACAGGUAGCAAUACUGGGUGGCGAGUGGCGCACGGGUGCGUAACACGUAUGUAACCUACCCUAUACAGGCGAAUAACCUUUAGAAAUGAGGGCUAAUACGCCGUAGUAUUACAGAUGGGCAUCUAUUUGUAAUUAAAGAUUUAUCGGUAUAGGAUGGGCAUGCGUCCCAUUAGUUAGUUGGUAAGGUAACGGCUUACCAAGACGAUGAUGGGUAGGGGAUCUGAGAGGACUUACCCCCACACUGGUACUGAGACACGGACCAGACUCCUACGGGAGGCAGCAGUAAGGAAUAUUGGGCAAUGGCCGCGAGGCUGACCCAGCCAUGCCGCGUGCAGGAAGACGGCCUUAUGGGUUGUAAACUGCUUUUAUACGGGAAUAAUAGAGUGUACGCGUACAUUUAUGCAAGUAUCGUAUGAAUAAGCAUCGGCUAACUCCGUG